UCAGAAUGCUUUCCGUCUACUUAGGGGUCUAACUCACGUAAUAGCUUGUAUAGGCCUUAAUUUCAGGAUCUUGAUUGAUCCAUGUAUCUGUAUAAGUCUCUCUUUGUACCAAUUACUUUUUACUCAAUUAAUGAAAACAAGUCACAAAGCAGGUUUUCACAGAUACCCUUCUCUAUCAUAACCUUAUAAAGCUUGUUUGCCUCUUCCAAUUUUCCGUCUUUACAAUACGUGUUAAUCAUCGUGCUAAACGUGACCACAUUUGGCUUCGGACCAACCCUUAGUAAUAGAGUAAAGAAAUCUCCGUCGCCUCCUAUCUGAUUUUCUUUACAAAGACGUUUUAAACUCUUGAUAGAAGCAACAAUGUCAAGCACAAAGCCUCUGUCAAUCAAUCAUAACAAACUCAUACACAGAAAACUGUUGGCCUCUCAAUGCAUUACAGAUUUCUCCAUAUGUAUGGAGAAUCACGUGGACACGGUCCGAAUCAACCAAACAAGUCAGCAUUCUUGACAACGCAUAAGGAGACACCGGCACUCCCAAUUUAUACAUACGACCUGAAUACAUCAACAGACGAAUCCAACAUUCCAUUUCGACAAAAAUUCUCAAUCAGAAAGCUACAAACAAGACUAAAAUCGGAGCUAUGGUUCUGAAAACAAUCAGAAAAUGCAUCAAAGAAGUGAAACUGAGUCCCGAACUGGCCUACCGAUGUUUUGAAAAGGCGGGAAACCGGUGCGAGCAUCCGGUGGCGGAGCAGCAGGUGAAGGAGGGCGCAGAAGGACUGCGGGUGGUGGUGCAAGCCGAGGGAGCCGCAGGCCCAAUCGAAGAAGCCGAGGGCGGUAAUGGGGUUGGAUUGGAGGGAGAGGAGGAUGGGGUGGAGGUGGUGGGGUUGUAAUUUGGAGAGAAAAAGAGGGUUUGAGAGUUUGGGGUCGUCUUGGAGGAAGGCGUUGGAGAUGUAGUGGAUCACGGUUUUGGAUGAGAAUAAGGACAAAGUCGAUUAGGGGAGGAGAAAGCGGCACGCGACGUCGAAAUUGUCGGCGUUUGGAGACUUGAAGUCGAUAAAGUCGAUGGGGGUUCAGAGGAGAAGCACUUGCCAGCAUGACAUACGUUGAUCAGGCCACCGUCACCACCAUCACCAAGGGCCAGUUGCAUGGUUAUAGGUGUGUGCCCAUUACCUGUUUGAUGAAAUGCCCAGAAAAAUUAUAUGAAGUAAAUAGUAUCAGAUUGAUUUUUUAAUGUAAAAAUAUAAUCUUCGUUAAAUUUUAAAAUUUACCCCCAUAAACUCAAAAAAAAAGAGAAAAAAAAAGAAGAAGGUUUAAACCAUAAAAAAAAAAAAGGCAAGUGAUCAUUUUUCUGGCGUUGAAUCACAUGACUGCCCGGAGGAAGAUGUUACAAAAUUCUGCUGAUGGUUAUUCAAAGAUUGUAGAUUUGCUAAGCCGGUUUGCAAUUCAUCAUAUGAAUGCUAGCUUCUCCUGCGGAUAGCACGGAGCUGCCAGAGAGGAUGUUAAUUCUGCUUCCACAACAUCACUGAUUGAUGCAAUUCGUUCUGUUUAUAUGGGGGUGUCAGUUGCUCAGAGUCUGACGAAAGUAGAUGGUUCAGCUAAGAGCUCAUGUAUCAGCAAGUUCUGCGUCGGUUUGCCUAUCUUAAUGCUAUACAAAUAAGUGAGCCAUCCCCACUGAAGGAGUUGAUCGUGUUGGCACUAAAAGAGGGGGAGGAUCCAGAAUGCAGUGUGAAUAAUGAACUGAAUGAGAAGAUUGCAGAGGUAAUGUAUGUGCUCUCUGUUCCAAUAUAGUAAUAUGUUAAAGUACUGUUCAGUCCUACAAAAUGAUCUUAAAUUUUUGGAAGUAUUUAUACCAAGUACAGCUAGAUAGUAAGAAAGGAUCUGAACCAUUGUCCAGCAUUAAAAGGAGAAAUUGUGUAUAUUCGAGGCUGAUCGGAAUCUUGAUGUAGUUUGAUUAAAACCAAUGACACGAAUAGAUUGAAGAUUUAUCUCCUAGAAUUCUACCUUUGCUUUGUGCUUGGAUUGGAAGGUGUCUUUUACUGCUGCUCAAGUCAGCAAUCAUGACAGUAAGAGUGGGGCUGUAGGGGUACGUUUCAAUUUGCAAAACUGCAUUCAGCAUAUCGAUGGAGGUUCCUAGGUAUCUCUACGGUUGUUUUAUCUUCCAAAACGUCAUACCCUUUUCCUUCCAUUGGUGCUUUAAUAUCCGGCCACAGGGAUCUCCAGGUAUUUGAUUGAUGGUAUUCAGUUUUGGGAUUAAUUUUUUCAAUUUGAAAAAGACCAAAACUUGAUCAAAUAAGAGUUAACUUGUUUGGUCAGGGAAUUAGAACUGAAUGAAUCAAUUCGGUUGAAAUAAGUUUGAAAACAUCUCGUUUGAGCCAGACACGGGCUUGUUUUCCACAGUCGGUACUGCUGGGAACAAGGAUGUCAUUUCUUGUGAUUUAAUGCCAGUCUGGAAUUGAUUCGCAGAGUCACCGGUUAUUUCUCUCAAGUACCUUGGAGUGAUUUUUGGUGUCGCAGGAGACGACGUUGUCAUGACAGAAAAUGAAAUUGAGCAUGAACUAGUUGCGGAGGCAGAGAGUGCAUGGGCUCUGCGCGAAUGGUCAAUCCAGCAUGUUUUGUUUCCAUCAAUGAGGUUCUUUUUCAAGCCACCAAAUUCCAUGGCUACAAACGGAGCAUUUGUCCGGGUAGCUUCAUUGGAGAAACUAUACAGGACUUUCGAAGGAUGCUGACGCCAUUCAUCAGUGGCAAACGACAGUACACAGAAGGCUCUUGGUUUUGUAUAGAUGUUAGACGCCAUUCAUCGGUAUAAUUUUGGGAGAAAAUACUAGUUCUGUCCAUGCCAAGGGGCAUUUGUUUUCUUCUCUGAAGGGUGUAUAUUACAAUUAGUAAAAUCCAUAAAAUUACUUGAGUUUUGAAA